GCGCCCGUAGCUCAGCUUGGACAGAGCAACGGACUACGAAUCCGUGUGUCGGGGGUUCAAAUCCCUCCGGGCGCGCCA
rnacentral:tRNA from 1 species